UAACUUUAUAGCCUUUGUGGCAAACACUUGCC
rnacentral:piRNA from 1 species